UACGUAGGGCGCAAGCGUUAUCCGGAAUUAUUGGGCGUAAAGAGCUCGUAGGCGGUUUGUCGCGUCUGCCGUGAAAGCCCGGGGCUCAACCCCGGAAGCGCAUUGGAUACUACGGAGCUUGAGUCCUGAAGAGGAGAGCGGAAUUCCCGGUGUAGAGGUGAAAUUCGUAGAUAUCGGGAGGAACACCAGUGGCGAAGGCGGCUCUCUGGACAGGUACUGACGCUGAGACGCGAAAGCGUGGGUAGCAAACAGG
rnacentral:rRNA from 1 species